UGUGUGCGUGCGUCCGUCAACAAUUUGUUUGUGUAGACAGUAGAGGUCACAGUUUUCAUCCGAUCUUUAUGAAAUUUGGUCAGAAUGUUUAUCUUAAUGAAAUCUGGGUUGGGAUUGUAUUUGGGUCAUCUGGGGUCAAAAACUAGGUCACUAGGUCUAAAACUAGGUCACAUAAUAGGUCAAAUAAUAGAAAAACCUUGUGUAGACAAUAGAGGUCGCAGUUUUCAUCCAAUCUUUAUGAAAUUUGGUCAGAAUGUUUAUCUUGAUGAAAUCUGGGUUGGGAUUGUAUUUGGGUCAUCUGGGGUCAAAAACUAGGUCACUAGGUCAAAUAAUUGAAAAACCGUCAACAAUUUGUUUGUGUAGACAGUAGAGGUCACAGUUUUCAUCCAAUCUUUAUGAAAUUUGGUCAGAAUGUUUAUCUUGAUGAAAUCUGGGUUGGGAUUGUAUUUGGGUCAUCUGGGGUCAAAAACUAGGUCACUAGGUCAAAAACUAGGUCAAAUAAUAGAAAAACCUUGUGUAGACAUUAGAGGUCGCAGUUUUCAUCCAAUCUUUAUGAAAUUUGGUCAGAAUGUUUAUCUUGAUGAAAUCUGGGUUGGGAGACUUUAUUUGGGUCAUCUGAGGUCAAAAACUAGGUCACUAGGUCAAAUAAUUGAAAAAACGUCAACAAUUUGUUUGUGUAGACAGUAGAGGUCACAGUUUUCAUCCAAUCUUUAUGAAAAUUUGGUCAGAAUAGUUAUCUUGAUGAAAUCUGGGUUGGGAUUGUAUUUGGGUCA